rnacentral:rRNA from 1 species
UACAGAGGUCUCAAGCGUUUGUUCGGAUUCAUUGGGCGUAAAGGGUGCGUAGGUGGCGGGGGUAAGUCAGGUGUGAAAUUUCGGAGCUUAACUCCGAAACUGCAUUUGAUACUGCCUUGCUUGAGGACUGGAGAGGAGACUGGAAUUCACGGUGUAGCAGUGAAAUGCGUAGAGAUCGUGAGGAAGACCAGUGGCGAAGGCGGGUCUCUGGACAGUUCCUGACACUGAGGCAGCGAAGGCCAGGGGAGCAAAACCGGGG